GUUAAGAGAGGCGAUAUGCUUACAGAUUUGUUUUCUCGUUUAUGUCGAUUGUUUUCACAGCUGAAGGAUGUAAGUAUAUUCAAAAGAUACAUCUAACUAGUUCUACCAAUUUGUUUAUACUUUAAUGUGCUGAAAUGAUGAUAAUAAUCCUAUGCAGACCAAUUUAAAUUCGGUCCAUUCAGCUUCCCCUCUUUAUUGCUGUAGAAUCGGUGUGGUCCACCAUUUUUUUUCAUAAAACUUAGAAAUUUACGAUUAUAUAUGCAAUUUUAUAGUGUUAUUCUACUCCAGAUUGUUAUCCGGUUAAAAUGAUACUAUUUUCGUAUAUUUUGAUCAAAUAGUGUUUUCAUAAAAUACCAUCAAAGGUGAUUUUUUUUUUUUCACAUUGAUUCCCAAAUCCAGCUAUGCGAGAACUACCUUUUUUUCAUAAUACUUAGAAAUUUACGAUUAUAUAUGCAAUUUUGUAAGGUUAUUCUUCUCCCGAUUGUUAUCUUGUUAAAAUGAUACUAUUUUCGUAUACUUUGAUCAAAUAGUGUUUUCAUAAAAUACCAUCAAAGGUGAUUUUUUUUCACAUUGAUACCCAAAUCCGGCUAUGCGAGACUUACCUUUUUUCAUAAAACUUAGAAAAAAUAGAAUAAAUAUGCAUUUAAUGAGCCUGUAUUAAUUCCAAAAUGUUAUCUUCAGCGGGGAAUAUAUUUGUAUUACCAUGGACAUGUACACAUUCCAAAUUUAUUUCUCUUUUCUUUGUAAAUUUUUCCCAUCAUUCUCUAUUCCUUAUUUAUUUUAGCAUCCCAUCAUUCUCCAAUCUUGAUAUUUUGGUAAGAUAUUUCCUCUUGUCCUUACUUCUCUGAUUUCGAUUCAUGCAGUUAUUCCGAUACUCUUUUCUAUGAAUGAAGGACAGUGUCAGAAAUUCACAGGACAAUUUUUUUUUCUGAUUAUUUUCUUUGAACAAAAACACUUAUUUCUAUUCUUGAACUAUUGUAUAAAAACCAACUUAUCAAAAACAUAUCAAAGAUGAUCAAAUAGUUGUUUAAAAAACAUAAUGUAAAACUGAUUUGGCACUUACAUGGCUUCAUGGUGCCAAGAAGUCUUUCUUUUGUAUGAUUAAAAUUUAAUAAAUCUUCAUUUUUCAAAUAUAAUGACACAUUUGUUAAACUUUAAUAUGAAUAUAUGUAUUAAAAAGUAAAUAUUUAAAGAUAUUUCUCUUAUAUAUACAAACAUUUGUCAAAAGAUUAUUUGUGUUUUUUUUGUCUUGUGACUUUUUGUCCUAUUAAAUUUGUGACUUUAUGUCCUGUGACUUUCAGUCCGUUAUCCUUUUGUAAACCCUUUCUAGACCCCCAUGAGACCUACAAAAUAUAUAGAAGCAGAGACUUAAUAAAGUUGAUGUCAGCAACUUACAUUGUAUGUUCAGUGUACCACGUUUAACGAUUGACAAACAUAUCAAAUAUUUGUACCUAAUAGCAAGCUUGAAAGGUCUAUACAUGACAAAAUUAAAUUUAAAAUAGAUUUAGCAUAAUAAAAACCUGCAGAAUGUUGUAUGACAUACAUGUAGGAAGUAAAGUUUACAAGUAAGACAAAUAGUCUUUUCAACCUUAUUUUUUUUUAAAUUUAGAAUGCCAAAGAGGAAAAGAUGUAGAAAUUAACAAAAGGAGUUAAAAAGAGAGUUAUCCUCGACCAUGAACAGCUGUUGGUACCAUUAUGGAGGAGAUAUCUGUUACAGUUUCAAUCCACACUGAAGAUGGAAAGUAUCAUCCAAAUAUGACACAUCUCUGGUCGUGUUUGUACGUUCUGAGGAAAUUUCUAUAACAUCAGAAGAAGACAAAGGAGAACUCUUGUUAGAUGAACACUCAGACCACACUAAUGGAGCAAAAGAAUAGCCAUUUGAGAAUGAAAAAUAUGUACACUUGAAUUUGAUUGUCAUGUUGUUUCUUUUUCUAGCACCAGUGAAAGGCACAGAGCAACUGAUUGCACAAGAAAUUGAGAUAUUUGCAGUGAAUGGGUUACACAAUGAACAUGAAGACUCUUGCCAUCUCUCUUUCAAUGUAUGCGAUUUAUUGCAAGUUAGCAUCGGUGAUACAUAUAUCCUUAGCUGUACAGAUCCGAAAUUUGCAUAGUUGAACUGUACCAGAUCUGUUGCAGGG
rnacentral:lncRNA from 1 species